rnacentral:lncRNA from 10 species
ACGUGGCUGCAGGCUGUUGAAUUGGAAUUCCCUGUGGCUGUCCGAAGGCAGGGUGUCCGGAGAGCGGUGGGCUGACCUGUUCCUACACCUUGCAUCAUGCCAGCUUUGUCAACGGGAUCUGGGAGUGACACUGGUUUGAGCAAAGCACAGAAGACAAGAGUCUCUGCAUUUACAGAAGCCGCAAAGUACGGCGUAUGCAUCAGAUGUUUGCAACUGGCCAGUCGGGUCAUUUUUCCCAUAAGCAGCGUUGCUUAGCAGUGUCGCUGACGUCGUCCCAUUAGUUCCAGGGGAACAGAGUUGAAGUCAGACCCUUGUGCCACAGGAGCAAGGCACCCGACUCACAGCAGCCUAGAUGCAUGGAUUGCUCAUUUGGGAAAAUACGUUCUGUGUAAAACUUUUACCACUUCUUCUUUCCCUUCUUGCUUAUUUCACGAAGAAAAAAAAAACUAAUUAUACAAGUAAUACAUAAAAA